UCCUGCCUGGAUGUGGCCUGUGGUCGGUGUGGCGGCUGCCGUGAUCAUCACGGUGGUGGUCCUGUGGUUAAAGAGAAGAAGACAGAGACGAGAAGGAGGAGAGCGAGUGCGGCACAGAUCUACGGUGACCGACAGCAAUAACGGCAGCAAGGCCUGGACCCGCCGCUCUGAGGAGAAAAGAAGCAGAUCGGGAAGAGAUAAAGACAGAAAUGGGACAAAGAAAAACAAGAAAGGAAAGGAGUCAGGAAAAAGACGUAAGGAGCCCCUCGGUGAGGACGCGAUCCGUAUGCGACCCCUGAGGAAGGAACUGGACAUCGGAAGUGACACCGAUGUGACCCAGAGCUCCAUGGAGGACAUCAACAAGACCAUCUGUGACCACAGAUCAGCAGACCAAAAACAGUUCAAACAGCCCCGCAUGCUGGCUCCCCCUAGAGGAUGGGAAAGAAACGCGGUUCCUACACCUCAAAGAGCACCAAGCAAUGUGAGUUUAAUUUUAACAAUCUGCCUGAACUUUACAAAACGUAUUAUACUACAAUG
rnacentral:lncRNA from 1 species